GAUGACAGAGACAGCCUUGAUGCCUUCCACAAAUACAUGCAGAAAUCAAAAACUUUACCAGGAUAUUUGGGGCAUGCACUGUAUAAUAUAAGGGAUGAUCCUACGGAGCACAAAAAUUUGGUCCAAACCAUGCCCCAAGUUGUGCGAGAGAUGAAGAUGAAGUUGAAAUUGGCACAGCAAGAGAUGGUGCCCGCGAAUGCCCCACCGGGGGAUAUCAAAGGAAACCCGAACAAUUUUGGGGGAGUUUGGACACCGGGAUGGUGCUGAUAAUGUUGAUGUGCUACAUGUACAACUAUGGAAUAGCAUCGGUUUAAAAUUAAUUGACAUGAUGAAAAAUACUUACGAAAAAAUUUAAAAAACUUUUUUGUCAUUUGAUUACAUUUGUUUGUUUUAAUGUUGGCUAUUCUUUCUUCGGACUGAGGAAGUAGCCAUGGUGCUAAAGAUUUCAUUUAGCCAUUUAUUUCAUGCUAUUUCAUUUCAAUAUGAUUUACGAUUAAAGUGAUUUCUAUGAA